UCGGUCUGGUGGCGAGUGGCGAACGGGUGAGUAAUGCGUGAGUAACCUGCCCUUGACUCUGGGAUAAGCGUUGGAAACGACGUCUAAUACCGGAUACGAGCUAGGACCGCAUGGUCACUAGUUGGAAAGAAUUUUGGUCAAGGAUGGACUCGCGGCCUAUCAGCUAGUUGGUGAGGUAACGGCCCACCAAGGCGACGACGGGUAGCCGGCCUGAGAGGGUGACCGGCCACACUGGGACUGAGACACGGCCCAGACUCCUACGGGAGGCAGCAGUGGGGAAUAUUGCACAAUGGGCGAAAGCCUGAUGCAGCAACGCCGCGUGAGGGACGACGGCCUUCGGGUUGUAAACCUCUUUUAGCAGGGAAGAAGCGAAAGUGACGGUACCUGCAGAAAAAGCACCGGCUAACUACGUGCCAGCAGCCGCGGUAAUACGUAGGGUGCAAGCGUUGUCCGGAAUUAUUGGGCGUAAAGAGCUCGUAGGCGGUUUGUCGCGUCUGCUGUGAAAAUCCGAGGCUCAACCUCGGACCUGCAGUGGGUACGGGCAAACUAGAGUGCGGUAGGGGAGAUUGGAAUUCCUGGUGUAGCGGCGGAAUGCGCAGAUAUCAGGAGGAACACCAAUGGCGAAGGCAGAUCUCUGGGCCGUAACUGACGCUGAGGAGCGAAAGCGUGGGGAGCGAACAGGAUUAGAUACCCUGGUAGU
rnacentral:rRNA from 1 species